rnacentral:rRNA from 1 species
AUUGAACGCUGGCGGCAGGCUUAACACAUGCAAGUCGAGCGGAGAUGAGGUGCUUGCACCUUAUCUUAGCGGCGGACGGGUGAGUAAUGCUUAGGAAUCUGCCUAUUAGUGGGGGACAACAUUCCGAAAGGAAUGCUAAUACCGCAUACGCCCUACGGGGGAAAGCAGGGGAUCUUCGGACCUUGCGCUAAUAGAUGAGCCUAAGUCGGAUUAGCUAGUUGGUGGGGUAAAGGCCUACCAAGGCGACGAUCUGUAGCGGGUCUGAGAGGAUGAUCCGCCACCCUGGGACUGAGACACGGCCCAGACUCCUACGGGAGGCGGCAGUGGGGAAUAUUGGACAAUGGGGGAAACCCUGAUCCAGCCAUGCCGCGUGUGUGAAGAAGGCCUUAUGGUUGUAAAGCACUUUAAGCGAGGAGGAGGCUACUGAGACUAAUACUCUUGGAUAGUGGACGUUACUCGCAGAAUAAGCACCGGCUAACUCUGUGCCAGCCGCCGCCGUAAAAC